AUUAUGCAUGCAAGUCGCGCGAGAAUUUUCUUCGGAAGAUGGAAAGCGGCGGAAGGGAGAGGAUAAGGUAGAAAUCUACCCUCGGGACGGGGAUAGCUGCGGGAAACUGCUGGUAAUACCCGAUAAUAUCUUUGGAUCAAAGGUGUGAUUCCGCCUGGGGAUGAGUCUACUUCCUAUUAGCUAGUUGGCAGGGUAAUGGCCUACCAAGGCAACGAUGGGUAGCGGGUGUGAGAGCAUGACCCGCCUCACUGGGACUGAGAACUGCCCAGACACCUACGGGUGGCUGCAGUCGAGAAUCUUCGGCAAUGGGCGCAAGCCUGACCGAGCGACGCCGCGUGCGGGAUGAAGGCCUUCGGGUUGUAAACCGCUGUCGUAGGGGAACAAAUGCAAGGGGGUUCUCCCUCUUGCUUGAGUGAUCCUAGGAGGAAGGGGAGGCUAAGCUCGUGCCAGCAGCCGCGGUAAGACGAGCUCCCCGAACGUUAUUCGGUAUUACUGGGCUUAAAGAGUUCGUAGGCGGCCCGACAGGUGAGGUGUGAAAUCCCUCGGCUCAACCGAGGAACUGCGCUUCAAACCGUCAGGCUUGAGGGAGAUAGAGGUGAGCGGAACAGAUGGUGGAGCGGUGAAAUGCGUUGAUAUCAUCUGGAACACCGGUGGCGAAAGCGGCUCACUGGAUCUUUUCUGACGCUGAGGAACGAAAGCUAGGGUAGCGAACGGGAUUAGAUACCCCGGUAGUCCUAGCCGUAAACGAUGAGCACUAGCCCGUGGGGACUCUCACAUCCUCUCGGGCGUAGCGAAAGUGUUAAGUGCUCCGCCUG
rnacentral:rRNA from 1 species